rnacentral:tRNA from 1 species
GUGGAUAUAGCUCAGUGGUACAGUGCAUGCUUAGCAUGCAUGAGGUCUUGGGUUCAAUCCCCAGUACCUCCA